AAGAACACUGUGUGGCAGGUUGAAGAUUUGAGCAAAGAGUUAGCUAAUGCAUUGUCUGCAGUUGCAUUUGCUGAAUUUAGGGCUGCUGUGGCUGAGGCAAAACUCUCUGGCCUUCAAAGGAAAAUGGGUUCCGUUGACGAUAAGGUUUUUGAAAAGGUUGGUGUAAGUGGAUUUCUAUUUAGCUCAAGUGAUGUGGUUGCUGGUGAACUACAAGCAGCAAAAGAGGAGAUUGAAAAAUUGAAAGAGGAAGCUAAUGCUAACA